GAUGAACGCUGGCGGCGUGCCUAGUACAUGCAAGUCGAGCGAACGGACGAGAAGCUUGCUUCUCUGAUGUUAGCGGCGGACGGGUGAGUAACACGUGGAUAACCUACCUAUAAGACUGGGAUAACUUCGGGAAACCGGAGCUAAUACCGGAUAAUAUUUUGAACCGCAUGGUUCAAAAGUGAAAGACGGUCUUGCUGUCACUUAUAGAUGGAUCCGCGCUGCAUUAGCUAGUUGGUAAGGUAACGGCUUACCAAGGCAACGAUGCAUAGCCGACCUGAGAGGGUGAUCGGCCACACUGGAGCUGAGACACGGUCCAGACUCCUACGGGAGGCAGCAGUAGGGAAUCUUCCGCAAUGGGCGAAAGCCUGACGGAGCAACGCCGCGUGAGUGAUGAAGGUCUUCGGAUCGUAAAACUCUGUUAUUAGGGAAGAACAUAUGUGUAAGUAACUGUGCACAUCUUGACGGUACCUAAUCAGAAAGCCACGGCUAACUACGUG
rnacentral:rRNA from 1 species